rnacentral:rRNA from 1 species
CACGUAGGCGGCUCUUUAAGUCGGGGGUGAAAUCCUGGAGCUCAACUCCAGAACUGCCUUCGAUACUGUAGAGCUUGAGUUCGGGAGAGGUGAGUGGAACUGCGAGUGUAGAGGUGAAAUUCGUAGAUAUUCGCAAGAACACCAGUGGCGAAGGCGGCUCACUGGCCCGAUACUGACGCUGAGGUGCGAAAGCGUGGGAGCAAACA